rnacentral:lncRNA from 1 species
UAGAACAGUAUCAAAAAAAAAAAUGUUCUUACCAUUUUCAAGAUCCAUUAAAUGUCUACCAACUUUUAGUAUUUCUAGUAAUGCUGGUGGAGCUUGAUACACAUUUUGGUUAAUGGCUUGGCUAUGUCCCAUAUGUUGGUAAAAAAGCUCUCUUUCUUGUGGUGGUAAAUUCAACAUUGCAAAUAGAGUGCUUACUCUGCGACGAUUAGAUGUUGCACAUCUGUACUUCCAACAAGGCUACAAGCUAUUGAAACUCAAUAUUGAAAUUCAAUGUUUUAAGUUGCUUGAAGAGCCAAGAUUUUGGAAAUUUUAUACAAUUAGUGAUUUAGUCAUUUCAUA